rnacentral:rRNA from 1 species
UACGUAGGGUGCGAGCGUUAAUCGGAAUUACUGGGCGUAAAGCGUGCGCAGGCGGUUAUGUAAGACAGAUGUGAAAUCCCCGGGCUCAACCUGGGAACUGCAUUUGUGGCUGCAUAGCUAGAGUACGGUAGAGGGGGAUGGAAUUCCGCGUGUAGCAGUGAAAUGCGUAGAUAUGCGGAGGAACACCGAUGGCGAAGGCAAUCCCCUGGACCUGUACUGACGCUCAUGCACGAAAGCGUGGGGAGCAAACAGG